rnacentral:rRNA from 1 species
AUCUAUGGCCAUACCACCCUGAACAUACCCCAUCUUGUCUGAUCUCGGAAGCUAAGCAGAGUUGGGCCUGCUUAGUAUUUGAAUGGGAGACCGCCUGGGAAUACCGGGUGCUGUAGGCU